rnacentral:lncRNA from 1 species
UCCCAGGGUUUAUAAAACCCCUCUUCCUAAUCUUUGAUGAUGACCACCAAAAGGGAUGUUUUUUGAGAUGUGGUAGUGUGGUGAUGCCACAAAAGCUGGGAAUAGGCAUUCUCUUUCAUUGACUUAGAACAAACUUAAGACCUCCUUCUAACAAGAAAAAAAUUUAAGGUGAUGUUAGUAGUAAGAUUUAAUCCAUAGCAAUUUCACAAUUGCCACUAUUUUUGAAAGAAGUAAGCAGUUCUAGUGAGAGCAUUGAUGGAAAGGUCCUGCUACUAGACCCACGAACUAAAGAAGAUUUUCCCUCUAUUUGGCCAAGAUCUAAG